CUCUCUCCUGAGACUGUUUUUACAGACAUGAGGAUCAUCACACGUGUCUCUGUCAAUCACUGAAUCAACUGAGUUUGAUUGUGAGUCACGUCACACUUGAUAUAAAAGUGAAUUUCUUUCAAUAAUUGAGGUUGAUGUUUUAGUAAUAAGACAGAUGAAGUAAAUGCAGGUGAUGUGUGCUGUGAGUGUGUGUUUGUUGGAGACUCAGUUGAUGUGUGUUUGUUCAGUUAGUGAAGCGUUCAGGAGGUUUUUGUUCAGCUGCUCUAUUAGUUUGUAUCACUGUGGUGGACUUUCGGCAGCGGCACCAAACUGGAUGUUGGCAGCGUCACUCGUCCUAAAGUGAGCGUCCUGCCGCCCUCCAGUGCAGAGAUCUCCUCAAAGAAGACAGCGACACUGGUGUGUGUGGCCAGCAAGGGCUUCCGUCAGACUGGAGCCUGAGCUGGAAGGUGGACGGGAGCAGCAGGUCUCAGGAGAGCAGCGCUGGGCUCCUGGAGAAGGACGGUCUGUACAGCUGGAGCAGCAGCCUGACUCUCUCUGAGCAGGAGUGGAUGGAGAGCGUCC